rnacentral:rRNA from 1 species
UACGUAGGGUGCAAGCGUUUGUCCGGAAUUAUUGGGCGUAAAGAGCUCGUAGGCGGUCUGUCGCGUCGGCUGUGAAAACUCGGGGCUCAACCCCGAGCCUGCAGUCGAUACGGGCAGACUAGAGUGCUGUAGGGGAGACUGGAAUUCCUGGUGUAGCGGUGAAAUGCGCAGAUAUCAGGAGGAACACCGGUGGCGAAGGCGGGUCUCUGGGCCGAUACUGACGCUGAGGAGCGAAAGCGUGGGGAGCGAACAGGA